AGGCACGUAGCUCAGUGGGAGAGCGCUACCUUGACGCGGUAGAAGCCGGCGGUUCGAAACCGCCCGUGCCUACCA
rnacentral:tRNA from 2 species